UGAGAUUUGACAUCCCGCUGUAGACGACGCGCCCAUGUAAGAUUGUGACUUGGCACUGUAUGUACCUAGGGUUGAUGUCGUCUCG